UAUCGCUAUGACGAUUAAAAAUAUAAAAGUAGUGGACUGAAUAAUACAUUGAUGAGAGAAUUUAAUUCUGAGCGAUG